ACUCAAAUGAAUUGACGGGGGCCCGCACAAGCAGCGGAGCGUGUGGUUUAAUUCGAUGCGACGCGCAGGACCUUACCCGGGCUUGACAUGCAGUUGCACCGGGGGUAACGCCCCGUCCGCUUCGGCGGCGGCUGCACAGGUGCUGCAUGGCUGUCGUCAGCUCGUGCCGUGAGGUGUUGGGUUAAGUCCCCUAACGAGCGCAACCCCCGGGGCCCGUUGGAGUUCUCUCGGGCCCGACUGCCGCGCGCAACGCGGAGGAAGGCGGGGAUGACGUCAAGUCAGCACGGCCCUGACGUCCGGGGCGACACACACGCUACAAUGGCCGGUACAGCGGGAGGCGAGGCCGCGAGGCGGGGCCGAUCCCUGCAAAGCCGGUCGCAGUUCGGAUGGCAGGCUGCAACCCGCCUGCCUGAAGCCGGAGUUGCUAGUAACCGCGGGUCAGCACACCGCGGUGAAUACGUUCCCGGGCCUUGUACACACCGCCCGU
rnacentral:rRNA from 1 species